UCGGGACAGCAAAAUGUGCCCGUGGCUUUUCCCCUGCUGCCCUCGCUGGGCUCCGUGCCUGGAAUCUGACAAUUAGGCUGGCUCCUGCCCCGCGGGCGCUGGAGGUGGGCUUUCACCCCCCGGCUGAAGGCUGGGAGCCCGUCAGAUAAAUCCAAGGCUCUGCUUUUACCUCGCCUCUAACCUUUCUGCCCGGGCCGGGUUCGCUGGUGAAAGAGGGGAUCUGAGAUUUCGCCGUCCUUCCCUUCCCAGCUCCUGAGCGGCGAUCGCGGUUUUAGUGCUGCCUCCGGGGCAGGAAAACCAAACGAAGAGACUUCACGAACGCAACAACGGCUGGAUGCGGGAUGCGCCGGUGGCUGGUGAUGGUCAAAGCCGUUUUAAAACGAAGGACAUCGCGGGCUGCCCCCGGAGCCUGCCCCGACCCCCGCAGCCUGCCCCUACCCGCCUGCCCCCGGCGGAGCUGUUCCCAGGAAGGGGGGCAGCCUCCCGGCCGGGAGCAUUUCGGGGGGUUGCAGCUCGUCUGUCCUCACGGCGCUUUCCAGAGGAGAUCAAGGUCUGACUGCUCGGAUGCUUCCUGCUAGCCGUGCAAAUCCCAGCCGGCUUGGGUGCGCGCUUCGCACGCCGGGGGGGCUGCUCCGAUCCCCCCCCGGGGCCGGGGACUGCUCUUGGUGCACAGCCUGGAAGCGGGGAGGCACGGGUCGGAGGUGGGGAAGGAAAAAGAGAGGGACACAUUUAAUGUGAUUUAGUGUUUGGGCUGUGUUUGGCCUAAAGGGGAUUUUUACCUCCCCAUCCGGGGUGCAGCCUGGAGCCCCUGCCCUGCGCUGAGCCGGGGAGGGGGGAGGCUGGAGCCGGGCGGGGAAAAUUACAGAGCCCUGACCCCCACCUCCGCUCCGGCGUCUCCCGGCGAUGUCCCCUCGGGUCCUGCGAGGGCCCAGCCUGUGACCCACAACCGGAGGCGUGAAAUCGGCUGCCGAAAGGGCAAGCGCCGGGGCGGGGGGGGUCCCUGUCCCCGCCGAGCACCGCUUCCCCCUGCGAGGGGCCGGCACCGGGCUCGGGGGCUCUGCUCUUCCUCCUUGUCCCAGCACCGGGAAGGCUUCCCCGGUCCUUACUGGGCACGGCUGAGCUGCCCCGGGGGGGGACACGACCGGGCCGGGGCUCUCCGGUGCCCUGCGCCGUCCCCACCCGCCCCCGGGGGCUCCUGCGGAGUGCAGGAGUGAAUUAAAGUGUGAAUUAAAAAAAAUAUGUUAAAUAAAAACGAAAUAAACUCACGCUAACCUGG